GAGAAGUGUCUGCAAGAGAAUGGCACUGAUAGGCCUAAUAUGAUGGAUGUGUUGUGGGACUUGAAUUACGCUCGACAGCUUCAACACCCUACAAUGGCCCAACAAUCUCAUGAGGAUUCCAAAUCCGAUGUUUCGUGGCAAAUGGCAUUGCCUGGUAUAAAUCGCUUACCAUCUAUAAAUGUAAGCACAAGCUGUGUCAGUGUCACUGAAAGCGAGGUUCUUUCAGAAUUGAGGAUCGAUGAAACCAGAUGAUUUGUGGCCUCGAUGUUGUUAGCAUUC
rnacentral:misc_RNA from 1 species